rnacentral:rRNA from 1 species
UACAGAGGGUGCAAGCGUUAUUCGGAAUUAUUGGGCAUAAAGCGCAUGUAGGUGGCUUGGUUAGUUUGAUGUGAAAUCCCCGGACUCAAUUCGGGAAGUGCAUUGAAUACUGCCAGGCUAGAGUAUGGGAGAGGUGAGCGGAAUUCCAGGUGUAGAGGUGAAAUUCGUAGAUAUCUGGAGGAACAACAGAGGCGAAGGCGGCUCACUGGACCAUUACUGACACUGAGAUGCGAAAGCGUGGGGAGCAAACAGG